CGCCGCGAAUUUUCAUCUCGUCCGACAUUAAUUUACGAUAACGAACCUCUGCAUAUUUCUGACGUGCCUUUGCAUUCUUGCGAAGUCUUUGUGUUUCCUUCUUCCAUUUCUGAGCAUCGGAUUUCCAAUAAGAUACUUCCUUACGAAGUCUUUUCUCCUCUUUUGCAAUGUCCUUUUCCCAUUUUCCUUCGUCGCGAAGUUUCCAUCCCGUCUCCCUCUUAUUCUGCCUCCAUCUCCUCUCCUCCUUCUCACGUUGUUUUCGACGAUCCUUAAAUUCUUUCGCCGUAG